GUGAAUACAAACGCUUGAGUGUCUCUGCUUCGGCAAGCCUCUCGCACCCUUCACAUCCAUAACACCUGUGCACUGUAAGAACUUUGAACUCUUCGGAGUUUGGGGUUCUGACCUUUUUACAAAACAAUUAUAUGUAACAAAUGUAGUCUUAUUAUAACAAAAUA
rnacentral:misc_RNA from 1 species